AGAGUUUGAUCAUGGCUCAGAUUGAACGCUGGCGGCAGGCCUAACACAUGCAAGUCGAACGGUAACAGGAAGCAGCUUGCUGCUUUGCUGACGAGUGGCGGACGGGUGAGUAAUGUCUGGGAAACUGCCUGAUGGAGGGGGAUAACUACUGGAAACGGUGGCUAAUACCGCAUAACGUCGCAAGACCAAAGAGGGGGACCUUCGGGCCUCUUGCCAUCAGAUGUGCCCAGAUGGGAUUAGCUUGUUGGUGAGGUAAUGGCUCACCAAGGCGACGAUCCCUAGCUGGUCUGAGAGGAUGACCAGCCACACUGGAACUGAGACACGGUCCAGACUCCUACGGGAGGCAGCAGUGGGGAAUAUUGCACAAUGGGCGCAAGCCUGAUGCAGCCAUGCCGCGUGUAUGAAGAAGGCCUUCGGGUUGUAAAGUACUUUCAGCGGGGAGGAAGGUGUUGUGGUUAAUAACCGCAGCAAUUGACGUUACCCGCAGAAGAAGCACCGGCUAACUCCGUGCCAGCAGCCGCGGUAAUACGGAGGGUGCAAGCGUUAAUCGGAAUUACUGGGCGUAAAGCGCACGCAGGCGGUCUGUCAAGUCGGAUGUGAAAUCCCCGGGCUCAACCUGGGAACUGCAUUCGAAACUGGCAGGCUUGAGUCUUGUAGAGGGGGGUAGAAUUCCAGGUGUAGCGGUGAAAUGCGUAGAGAUCUGGAGGAAUACCGGUGGCGAAGGCGGCCCCCUGGACAAAGACUGACGCUCAGGUGCGAAAGCGUGGGGAGCAAACAGGAUUAGAUACCCUGGUAGUCCACGCCGUAAACGAUGUCUACUUGGAGGUUGUGCCCUUGAGGCGUGGCUUCCGGAGCUAACGCGUUAAGUAGACCGCCUGGGGAGUACGGCCGCAAGGUUAAAACUCAAAUGAAUUGACGGGGGCCCGCACAAGCGGUGGAGCAUGUGGUUUAAUUCGAUGCAACGCGAAGAACCUUACCUGGUCUUGACAUCCACGGAAGUUUUCAGAGAUGAGAAUGUGCCUUCGGGAACCGUGAGACAGGUGCUGCAUGGCUGUCGUCAGCUCGUGUUGUGAAAUGUUGGGUUAAGUCCCGCAACGAGCGCAACCCUUAUCCUUUGUUGCCAGCGAUUAGGUCGGGAACUCAAAGGAGACUGCCAGUGAUAAACUGGAGGAAGGUGGGGGAUGACGUCAAGUCAUCAUGGCCCUUACGACCAGGGCUACACACGUGCUACAAUGGCGCAUACAAAGAGAAGCGACCUCGCGAGAGCAAGCGGACCUCAUAAAGUGCGUCGUAGUCCGGAUUGGAGUCUGCAACUCGACUCCAUGAAGUCGGAAUCGCUAGUAAUCGUGGAUCAGAAUGCCACGGUGAAUACGUUCCCGGGCCUUGUACACACCGCCCGUCACACCAUGGGAGUGGGUUGCAAAAGAAGUAGGUAGCUUAACCUUCGGGAGGGCGCUUACCACUUUGUGAUUCAUGACUGGGGUGAAGUCGUAACAAGGUAACCGUAGGGGAACCUGCGGUUGGAUCACCU
rnacentral:rRNA from 1 species